rnacentral:rRNA from 1 species
GACAGAGGGUGCAAACGUUGUUCGGAAUUACUGGGCGUAAAGCGCGUGUAGGCGGUUAUGCAAGUCGGGUGUGAAAGCCCCGGGCUCAACCCGGGAAGUGCAUUCGAUACUGCGUAGCUAGAGUACUGGAGAGGAUGGUGGAACUCUCGGUGUAGAGGUGAAAUUCGUAGAUAUCGAGAAGAACACCGGUGGCGAAGGCGGCCAUCUGGACAGAUACUGACACUGAGGCACGAAAGCGUGGGGAGCAAACAGG